AAAGUACUCCCUCCGUCCCAAAAUUCUUGUCUUAGAUUUGUCUAGAUACGAAUGUAUCAAGUCACAUUUUAGUAUUAGAUACAUUCGUAUCUAGACAAAUCUAAGACAAGAAAUUUGGGACAGAGGGAGUAGUUG
rnacentral:pre_miRNA from 1 species